rnacentral:lncRNA from 1 species
CUGCAACCAAAAUUAUCAAAAUAUGUAAAACGAUGAUCCACCACAAAUGAUAUUCUGUUGUGAAGUUAUAGAAAUGUGUCACGAUCAAGAGCACAUCUAAGAUGGGUUCUAUAUAUUCAAUUGAACUCCUUGUUUUUGGUAUGAAAAUAAUAAGAUCACAUUCAUUUUAAAAUCACUAAGUUCUAGAUCAUGGAUCCGACUCUAGUUGUGAUAUGUUUAACAUACCGAUAGAUGAAGGAUCUCUUAUUUCAAUGCUUGUUGAAUUUACAUAGAUGAAUUCUGUGUUGGGCAAGUUACUGUUGAGGUCAUCGAUAAUUGGUAAAAGCUUGUCAUCAAAGUAUUGAACUGCAUUAUUUAUUGAAUCGACACAUGCUGAAUCCUUUGUUCCAUACAAGUCCAACUCUGCUGGAACACAACCUAUUCCUCCUAGCCCAAACACAGCAACUUUUCUUGCUCUGUAUCUGUACAAAGUCUGUUUUGCUACCAAAGAAUGAAUUGCAUGCUUAAAUGAGAGAAGUUGAUUGAUGGAAACUGCAUUUGUAUACCUUUAAUUGUUUUUCAUAUUGCUGAAUAAGGAUUGUAGCAUACUUUUCGGGUUUGUACAAAAGGCUUGAUGGGUAGAACUGAGGUAGCAAGUAGGCAAGUUACUGUUGAGGGCAUCGAUCAUUGGUAUAAGCUUGUCAUCAAAGCAUUGAACUGCUUUAUUUAUUGAAUCGACACAUACUGAGUCCUUUGUUCCAUACAAGCCCAACUCUGCGGGAAUACAACCUAUUCCUCCUAGCCCAAA